CACAGUGGAAGCUUUGUUCUUUUGCUCUUUGCAAUGAAUCUUACUGCUGCUCACUCUUUGGGUUCCCACUGCCUUUAUGAGCUGUAAGACUCACUGCAAAGGUCUGCAGCUUCACUCCUGAAACCAGUGAGACCACGAACCCACUGGGAGAAACGAACAACUCCAGACGCGCUGCCUUAAGAGCUGUUAACACUCACUGCGAAGGUCUGCAGCUUCACUUCUGAGCCACCAAGACCACGAACCCCCCAGAAGGAAGAAAUGCUGAACACAUCCGAACAUCAGAAGGAACGAACUCCAGACACGCUGCUUCCAAGAACUGUAACACUCACCGCGAGGGUCCGUGGCUUCAUUCUUGAAGUCAGUGAGACCAAGAACGCACCAAUUCCGGACACACUAUUGCAGUACUCCACGUAGGAGAUGAUAAUGGCUUAGUAUUGAUAAUGACAGGAUGAAGUAUUUGUACUCGGAAAUAUUUUGAAGGUCAGGCUGAUAGGAUUCGCAGACUGAUUGAUGAGGAGUGUGAGAAAAAGAGAAGAAUCAAGAAUGAUGCCAAGAUUUUUAUCCUGAGCUGCAGAAGAAAGCCUUUGGAAAAAACACUGAGAAAGCAUUUCAGGUAUCUGCCAUGGAAAAUACCAUCAAGUGGGACACCCGCAGCGAUCUCUGUACCCACAAAAGUCACACUUGCUAUCCUUGGUGAAUUUUCCUUAAAAACUGUGGAUGAACUUCCAGUGACUGCGUAAAUAAGACCCCCAGGAUGAAGGUCAUGUAACCUGAGCAUGCCCAGAUGAACCAAGUGUGCAAUCACAGGGGGAACCUAAGUGCCCAGACUGAGGAGCAGAGACUGAAUUAAGAAGCAGACACUGCAUGUCAGGAUCCAGGAUCCAAUCAGAUCGAGCUCUGGCAUUGCCCCACGGUCGAUAGCAGGAUCCAGUCAGAUCAUGCCUCCCAGCAUCACUUCAUUGCAAGAUCCAACCAGAUCACACCUCAUUACCCUAUGUUUAUAAAACCUGACCCAAACCCAGCUUGGGGAGACACACUGGGGCAUUUCCUCCUGUCUCCUUGCCAAAUAAAGAAUUUUUGCUCAAAAGUGAGUGCCAUGGUAUUCACCUCUGUGUACAUCAGGCAGCAAGCCCAUUGAUUUCUCGGUAACACUACCACAGUCAGGAUGC
rnacentral:lncRNA from 10 species